rnacentral:rRNA from 1 species
UACGAAGGGGGCUAGCGUUGUUCGGAAUUACUGGGCGUAAAGCGCACGUAGGCGGAUCUGUAAGUCAGGGGUGAAAUCCCGGGGCUCAACCUCGGAACUGCCUUUGAUACUGCGGAUCUUGAGUUCGGAAGAGGUGAGUGGAAUUCCUAGUGUAGAGGUGAAAUUCGUAGAUAUUAGGAAGAACACCAGUGGCGAAGGCGGCUCACUGGUCCGAUACUGACGCUGAGGUGCGAAAGCGUGGGGAGCAAACAGG